rnacentral:misc_RNA from 1 species
GAGCCGCGUAGUAGCACAAAGGCCGCCUCCCAACCUUGGAACCAGUAAUCCUACAGUCCUUUCCGUUUAGUGAAACGUUGAGAAUAGACAUGUCGUUGCAAGAUAGACGUGAAGAGUGGGACAAGAAUGGCCCUACCAAUGAUGAAAAAGAAUCACAAGGAUACGAUGGCCCUCCAGGGAUGGACCCUGAUGGUGUCAUCGAAUCAAACUGGGAAGAGGUUACUGACAACUUCGACGAUAUGAACCUAAAGGAGGAACUUCUCAGAGGUAUCUAUGCAUAUGGUUUUGAAAAACCCUCAGCUAUUCAACAAAGAGCCAUUAUCCCUUGCGUGAAAGGUCAUGACGUUAUUGCUCAGGCCCAGUCUGGUACUGGAAAGACAGCCACAUUUUCGAUAUCAAUCUUGCAGCAAAUUGACACUUCCGUUAGAGAAUGCCAAGCUUUGAUUUUGGCCCCCACACGUGAAUUGGCUCAGCAGAUCCAAAAAGUAGUAAUCGCAUUAGGAGAUUUCAUGUCUGCACAGUGUCAUGCUUGUAUUGGUGGUACGAAUGUCAGAGAAGAUAUGAGGAAACUCGAAACAGGUGUUCAUGUUGUUGUUGGUACACCUGGUAGGGUAUAUGAUAUGAUCACUCGGCGAGCUUUGAGAACAAGUCAUAUUAAGAUGUUUGUACUGGAUGAAGCAGAUGAAAUGUUAUCACGAGGGUUCAAAGAUCAAAUUCAUGAUGUAUUCAAGAUGCUGAAUUCUGAUGUACAGGUUAUAUUACUAUCUGCUACCAUGCCCAACGAUGUCCUAGACGUUACAAAAUCUUUCAUGAGAAGUCCUAUCAGAAUCUUAGUAAAAAAGGAAGAGCUUACACUCGAAGGUAUCAAGCAAUUCUUUGUAUAUGUUGAACGUGAAGACUGGAAAUUGGAGACUUUAUGCGACUUAUAUGAUACCCUUUCAAUUACGCAGGCUGUAAUCUUUUGUAAUACACGUCGCAAGGUGGACUGGCUUACAGAGAACAUGCACAAGCGUGAUUUUACUGUCUCUGCUAUGCACGGAGAUAUGGAGCAGAGGGAACGAGAUGUCAUUAUGAGGCAAUUCAGGACUGGGUCUUCAAGAGUACUCAUUACCACUGAUCUAUUGGCCCGUGGUAUAGAUGUACAACAAGUUUCACUAGUUAUAAAUUAUGAUUUGCCUUCAAAUAGGGAGAACUACAUUCAUAGGAUUGGUCGUGGUGGUAGAUUCGGUCGUAAGGGUGUAGCCAUAAAUUUCGUGACGGAAGAAGACAAACGUACACUUAAGGAUAUUGAGCAGUUUUAUAAUACAAAGAUUGACGAAAUGCCUAUGAAUGUAGCGGAUCUCAUCUAAAGAGCCUAGUGUGUCAGUGUGUUUCUACGACGUUUCUCCUGGAGGUCUUAUGGUGCAGCAUCAAUACCUGUGGGCACCAUGAUUUGGAAAUAAAGAUCUAAAUUCCAUUUUAACUACAAAUCAGUGGUUUUGUUUCCUCUGAAACCUUACUCAUCCAACUUUCCAUUUCCUUAAAUAGAAGGCCAUAUAAUUUUAGUACUUGAGUAAAUAUUAAUAAAGCUUUUUUUUU